GUACCCUUGGAUACCGAGAGGCCGCCUGAGUCCUGACUGUGGGGAGAGAAAGACCAUGGGGAGUGGAAUGAGCAAGGUGGUUAAAGGCCUCUAUCUCGGGAACAUCCGGGGUAAGUGCGUUUCUCUGCUCCACCUCCUUCACGCACGCUGCAUUUGCUCUGCGCGAGUCACCGGUGCAGCGGGUGCCGGAGGGCCCCUCUCCUCCCCAGGCUGGGAUCUCGGUCAUUUCAAGAUCCUCCGAUCCUGGAAAUCAAUGUUUUGAAAACUGCAGCUGGCACUAUGGAAAAGGGUGUUUCCACGUCCCUUUUUCAGCCCUCCCUUCACGCCUUGCAGAAAAUCCUGUUUCUUUGGGAGGCUCCCUGCGGCUGCUCCCGCUUGGGGACCUCGGGGCCUUCCGGAGAACCAAAACACUGGAACAGCCCCAUCCCAACUGCAAGUCCAGGGUGUCCCCAUGUAAACAGGAGCAGUGCUGGCCCUGGGGAGGGGCUGUCCUCGGGGACCGGCAGUCACCGAAUGUGCCUGGGCGCUCAGGGCCCGAUCUCCUGGCUGCAAACCUCCCUGUGUUUGCUGAGAUAAUGUUUACAGCCAGGGCCAAAGCUGGGCUUUCCUGGUCCAGCGUCCAGGCCUCCAGCUCCAUGCGGCCGGGUUUCACCUACGCAGCAGGACACAACUGCCUUUUUCAAGUUAGCAGGUUCGCUUCUGAUUUCAGUGGUGGUUUUAGGAGCUGCCUUGCCUGCCGACCGUCCAGUGGUGGUCGUUGCUUUGAAGGAGGUGCCUUGCAGUGCCUCUGGGCUGACAAAUGCUCUACGAACUCUGGGGAGAGAAAAUCAUCCUGCCCCAGCUGAAGAAAUGCCUUUUUAUUCUGAUGAGCAAAUUUCCCUUGCUGGAGCUUGCCUUGUUGCCUGGUGUUUUAGUGUCUCUCUGGAAAGGCCGAGCGGAUACUCUGCAAGGGGGAUAUAUAUAUAUAUAUAUAUUUAACAGAUUUCUGCCAUGCUCCUCCUGCCCUCUGCAGUGAGCCACCCCUCCUUUCCCAGGGCAAGGGGGCAGGCAGGGACCCUCUCC
rnacentral:lncRNA from 1 species